GGCCCUCUGCCUCUUCAUUGUCUCAACUUGUUCAUCGGGACGCUAAGGGAGCUAAGGGAGUUGGCGCCUCGACUUUUUCAUCGCGUCACUCUCUCUCUCUUUGUCCUCACACAACUCCAAAAUCCCUAGAAACAAACUAUUCUCUCUCUCUCUUUCUCUUUGUCUCCUCACAUUCCUACGUUUUCUGCACUUCGGGGCCGAGCAACCAUAAGAUCCGCACCGUCACCGGAAUCAACCUCAACGACAAGAUGCCAGCAGUUCAAGAAGAACAUCUUAUGGGUGAACCCUGACUGUGGGAUCAAGACUUGAAUCGUAAUGGACAAAAGAGAUGCUUUUCUUUUCUUUCUCAUUUCUUUUCGUGAAGAAUUUUUCACGCGCUGGAAUAAUUGGUACACCACUCUUUCGGAAAAGAUAAGAAGAAUUGGAAAAGAAUGAAUUGACGAUUGACAAAAAAUCGAGUUCCUGGGGUGAACCAAAGAUGUAUCCUACAACUUCUGGGAAUUUGAAAGGGUUGCCACAAGGUGUAGUUCAUGCUAAUUCGGAUUUGGAGUUAAAACCAUUAUGGUCGACAAGUAGUUCAAGGUCAAAGCUUGUCAGUUCAGGACCUCACUUGAGAAUGAUGUUGAGAAGUGGUCAUGCUUUCACCAGUAAAUGUUUGCAUUUUGUUUUGGGCCGAGUAAAUGGUGGAUGACAAAAGUACCAAUAUUCAUGUCACAACAAAGAUAGCCAAGUUCAUGGAUGGGAAGACGCUAAACUAGCUAAACUACAGCAGUAUAAUGGAUGAACAAUUGAGGAUACUAAAAGUCAUUGUUGUGCAAGGCAAAAAAUUAGUGAUCCGGGAUUCAAGAGCAGUGACCCUUAUGUUGUUGUCAAGCUGGGGAAUCAGACAACAAAGACCAGGGUCAUUCAUUGUUGCUUGAAUCCUGUCUGGAAUGAAGAGUUGAAUUUCACUGUGACAGAACCUUUGGGACUUCUGAAUUUGGUCUGUUAAGUUUGCUGAAUAUACCAGUUCCACCUUGUGAGAGUUGAUUUAUGGCUCUUGUUUCAUAAUCACCUUUAUAUUAGAAAUCCAGUCAUACAUGGAACACUUGAAGUGGUUUAAUUUGGCUGUGUUCCAUUUCCAAGAUCUGACUUUGAUGAACUCCAUAGCCUUUUCCACAUCGAGAGGAUAGUCAUUGAAGAGCAAAUUAUUUCUUGUGGUACAAAUAGUCCAUAGAGCUGCUAACCACACAUUCCACCACAUUAGUUUUUUUUUUUUUUAAUUGCACCAACCCUGCAAACUGCCAAAAGAAUUCCUCCACUGACUGAUUAUAUGCUGUUUGAAUUCCACACCAAUGUGCACAUGCAUACGACAGACUAGACGAGAUCUUGCAAUUAAAAAA